rnacentral:lncRNA from 1 species
UUUUGCUAACAGGUGGUGUACACAAUCCCUGCAGUACUGACCCUGCUUGUUGGACUUAACCCUGAAGUCACAGGUAAUGUUAUUUGGAAAAGUAUCUCUGCAAUACACAUACUCUUUUGUACGGUGUGGGCUGUUGGCUUGGCGUCCUACCUCUUGCAUCGUACACAACAGAACAUCUUACAUGAGGAAGAAGGCAGGCUGGAGUGCAGUGGCGCGAUCUCUGCUCACUACAACUUCCGUCUCCCAGGUUCAAGCUAUUCUUCUGCCUCAGCCUCCUGAGUAGCUG